AUUGAACGCUGGCGGCAGGCUUAACACAUGCAAGUCGAGCGGGGAAAGGUAGCUUGCUACCGGACCUAGCGGCGGACGGGUGAGUAAUGCUUAGGAAUCUGCCUAUUAGUGGGGGACAACAUCUCGAAAGGGAUGCUAAUACCGCAUACGUCCUAUGGGAGAAAGCAGGGGAUCUUCGGACCUUGCGCUAAUAGAUGAGCCUAAGUCGGAUUAGCUAGUUGGUGGGGUAAAGGCCUACCAAGGCGACGAUCUGUAGCGGGUCUGAGAGGAUGAUCCGCCACACUGGGACUGAGACACGGCCCAGACUCCUACGGGAGGCAGCAGUGGGGAAUAUUGGACAAUGGGGGGAACCCUGAUCCAGCCAUGCCGCGUGUGUGAAGAAGGCCUUAUGGUUGUAAAGCACUUUAAGCGAGGAGGAGGCUACUUUAGUUAAUACCUAGAGAUAGUGGACGUUACUCGCAGAAUAAGCACCGGCUAACUCCGUGCCAGCAGCCGCCGUAACAC
rnacentral:rRNA from 1 species